CUACGGGAGGCAGCAGUGGGGAAUCUUGCGCAAUGGGCGAAAGCCUGACGCAGCCAUGCCGCGUGAAUGAUGAAGGUCUUAGGAUUGUAAAGUUCUUUCGCUCGUGACGAUGAUGACGGUAACGAGAGAAGAAGCCCCGGCUAACUUCGUGCCAGCAGCCGCGGUAAUACGAAGGGGGCUAGCGUUGUUCGGAAUUACUGGGCGUAAAGCGCGCGUAGGCGGUUUUGCAAGCCAGAGGUGAAAUGCCUGAGCUUAACUUAGGAAUUGCCUUUGGGACUGCGAGGCUUUGAGGACGAGAGAGGUGAGUGGAAUUCCCAGUGUAGAGGUGAAAUUCGUAGAUAUUGGGAAGAACACCGGUGGCGAAGGCGGCUCACUGGCUCGUUACUGACGCUGUAGCGCGAAAGCGUGGGGAUCAAACAGGAUAGAUACCCCUGUA
rnacentral:rRNA from 1 species